ensembl:rRNA 5S_rRNA 5S ribosomal RNA
UGUAGCAGCCAUAUCACCCUGCAACUCACAACUGGCAACCCACUGAAGCUAGGCAGGUGUGAGCCUGGUCAGUACCUGGAUGGGAGACCUCCUGGGAAUAACUAAGAUUGCUGCUGGAA